UUGGGAGCUUGCUCCUAAAGAUGAGCGGCGGACGGGUGAGUAACACGUGGGCAACCUGCCUGUAAGACUGGGAUAACUUCGGGAAACCGGAGCUAAUACCGGAUAAUUCUUUUCAACUCAUGUUGGAAAGCUGAAAGACGGUUUCGGCUGUCACUUACAGAUGGGCCCGCGGCGCAUUAGCUAGUUGGUGAGGUAACGGCUCACCAAGGCAACGAUGCGUAGCCGACCUGAGAGGGUGAUCGGCCACACUGGGACUGAGACACGGCCCAGACUCCUACGGGAGGCAGCAGUAGGGAAUCUUCCACAAUGGACGAAAGUCUGAUGGAGCAACGCCGCGUGAGCGAUGAAGGCCUUCGGGUCGUAAAGCUCUGUUGUUAGGGAAGAACAAGUAUCGGAGUAACUGCCGGUACCUUGACGGUACCUAACCAGAAAGCCACGGCUAACUACGUGCCAGCAGCCGCGGUAAUACGUAGGUGGCAAGCGUUGUCCGGAAUUAUUGGGCGUAAAGCGCGCGCAGGCGGUCCUUUAAGUCUGAUGUGAAAGCCCACGGCUCAACCGUGGAGGGUCAUUGGAAACUGGGGGACUUGAGUGCAGAAGAGGAAAGCGGAA
rnacentral:rRNA from 1 species